rnacentral:rRNA from 1 species
CCUACGGGAGGCAGCAGUGGGGAAUAUUGGACAAUGGGGGGAACCCUGAUCCAGCGACGCCGCGUGAGUGAAGAAGUAUUUCGGUAUGUAAAGCUCUAUCAGCAGGGAAGAAAGAAAUGACGGUACCUGACUACGAAGCCCCGGCCACCUACGUGCCAGCAGCCGCGGUAAUACGUAGGGGGCAAGCGUUAUCCGGAUUUACUGGGUGUAAAGGGAGCGUAGACGGCGAUGCAAGUCUGAAGUGAAAGGCGGGGGCCCAACCCCCGGACUGCUUUGGAAACUGUAUGGCUGGAGUGCAGGAGAGGUAAGUGGAAUUCCUAGUGUAGCGGUGAAAUGCGUAGAUAUUAGGAGGAACACCAGUGGCGAAGGCGGCUUACUGGACUGUAACUGACGUUGAGGCUCGAAAGCGUGGGGAGCAAACAGGAUUAGAUACCCUAGUAGUC